AUGUCCACCUGGACCCAGAACAGAGCCCACAGUGUCAGUGGUGGAACUGUGACAAGGGUGUCAGGGAAGGGUCUCUGGAAAACCCUAUGCGUCACCAGAAAGCAGCAGGAGAAAAGUGUUCGAAGUUGCCAAAGGGAAAAAGGAGAAAUUACUGUGAAAGAUUCAUUCACAGCACACACGUGUAAGAGUGUGUUCAUCCAGAUAUUUCCCCUAAACCAUGGCAAAUGUCUCCAUUUCUUUCAGUGUUCCCCUGUCCCUGCUGAGAAAUCCUGGGCCCAGCAGGUCCUAUUAGGAGCCACUAGCUGGGGGAUUCCUGCAUCUCAGAGCAGUCUCCAUGGAGACUCAAAGUGGGGUGACAUCCGACAAACCGACAGCAAUAGAAAACUGCACCGGCACCAUCAGAGGAUCAGAGGGUGCUGUGCUCAGCUGCGUGCCACCAGGGAUGAUUUAGUUUAUCUGGGUGUAAAUCAGAUGUGACUCAUCAGCAGACACUGCACAGUCAAACGUGCAGAAAACUCAGAUCGGCACUGAAUGAGAGCCUGAAACACAGCUCGUUAUUUAAAGAGAAUUAUGAGAAUGCCAUGAGUUUCAAGAAGAUCAACACCACUGAGGAAGUGAAAGCCAAGAGUUAUAGAUGUAACGAUAGGAGGCCCUGAAGAUUUAUUAACUGUUUUGUUUAGACUUACUAAAAAGGAAUGACACCCAUUAUAGUGUAUCACAGGAGUGAGCUAUCUAACAGCCCUGUGGCUAUGACUGCAGUGGAGUUCUGUGAUAAGGUGAGGAGACUGUGACUUUCCUGUGAUGAAGCAUUCAGUAAAACAGAAGUUCUUGCUUUGUAAAUUAUUUAUUCAAUUCAAGAGUUUUAUCAAACAAAUGUUGUCCUACAAAUAAGUACCUCUGAGGGCAAAACAGCCCAUUCUCACAAGACAUGUAUACUUGUGCAUGUCUGAGAUGUUUCUGGGCUUUUCAUGUCAACUCUAAGCAAUCCACAGCUGUGUUGUUUCAGGAAGAUGCCCUCUGGCUCCAUGGGCUCGCCACCUCCUGAGCUGCAGUGGCAUUUGCUAUUCUGAACAUGGUGAUACUUGAAGAUUUGUACUGGUUUGGAGGACACAGGCAAGUGAUGCUACUUCGGCAAUUCCUCCUGCAGAUGGAGUUCCCACAUCUCCCUGAGUUAUUCAGCUGUGUCCCUCUAACUAAUUGCUUCUGGAAUCCAAACUGGCUUUCUCUUCAGUUAAAAUACAGCAUUAUGUUGAACCAGGAUAAUUGAAAUGUGACUGGGAUUGGCUGCCUUUUUUGGAAAAUAGUUUUCAGCUAUCCCUCUGAUACAACAAUGGGAGAGUAUCAGAUUAGAAGACCUGUCUCACACCAUGAUUUCUAGCAUUGUCCCAUGAGCAUGCUCAGUCCUUUGUGAGUACAUCUUUUAUUGUCGUUUGGGUGAGCUUUGUUGCAGCUUAAUAUUAUUGAAAGUUAAAGGACAGAUUGGAGACUGAUUAUAAGGGUAUGGUGUACCAUGGGAAAAGCCUAGUAAUACAAAUGCUUUGCCUGAGAUUCAAUGACUUCGUGUUCUGCAAAAGCUACUGCUGACAUCCCUUGCGUUUUUAUUGAUCUUAUAGAUUCAGUACCAGGAUACUUAGAGUUUAGCUUUGCUUUGGGGACUUGUUUAUUUUACCUGAAUUUGCUCAAAAUGCAACAGAUUAAAGUGACCUGACAGAUUUUUGAAUGCUGGCCUUGGAAAAAUAAAUAAAAAGUUUAUCAUUCA
ensembl:lncRNA